AAUUGAUUCUUAAUCGCUAUCUCAUUCCCUCUCGAAACAUUUGCAUCAGAUCAUUACGCGCCAAAAAAAUCUGCUACUACAAACUACGUCCACGGGAUGACACUCGAAGAAUUGAGAAGUGCGAAGCGCUUCCCAGAGGCGUCCCUAGAACCGGAGGAGCGACUUGUCGAUGAGAUGGUCAGCUCGCAAACAAAAUCAGUGCACCUGCUUUUGCUUUAAACCCAAUUCUGGAGUUGUUCCGAAAUCGAACGCGCGACGUGUUACUUUUUAGCAGCAUAUGGUUAAAUCACGGUACAUAUCAGAUGAUUAUGAUGACGACGUAGGCGAUAAUUACGAGCAGCCAUCCAUGGCAGAUAAUAAGGUAUUGGCGACUGCACAUUUAAUAGAAUAGCUGAGUGAUAAGUCGUAUUUGUCGACCACAAUCCAUAUUUUAUACGAAUCGAGUGUACCGACAGAUGUAAAUUGUAUAUCAUGAUAUUCCAUGAUCCAACCCAAGAAAAAAUGUCAUCCUGACUGAAUGUCAGUUUAAGACUUCAGAAAUAAAAUUUAUUCUUAAUUUAAAAAAUAAA